rnacentral:rRNA from 1 species
UACGUAGGGUGCGAGCGUUAAUCGGAAUUACUGGGCGUAAAGCGUGCGCAGGCGGUUCGUUGUGUCGGUGGUGAAAGCCCCGGGCUUAACCUGGGAAUGGCCAUGGAAACUGGCGAACUGGAGUGUGGCAGAGGGGGGUGGAAUUCCGCGUGUAGCAGUGAAGUGCGUAGAGAUGCGGAGGAACACCGAUGGCGAAGGCAGCCCCCUGGGCUAACACUGACGCUCAGGCACGAAAGCGUGGGGAGCAAACAGG